CCCCCCCCCCCCCCCCCCCCCCCCCCCCCCCCCCCCCCCCCCCCCCCCCCCCCCCCCCCCCCCCCCCCCCCCCCCCCCCCCCCCCCCCCCCCCCCCUUUUUUUUUUUUUUUUGUUUUUUUUUUUUUUUUUUUUUUUUUGUUUUUUUUUUUUUGUUGUUUUUUCCACAGGGAUUCUCCUGGAGAUUCCCAGCUCCCCCUCCUGGCUCUGCCCAAGGGACGCUGGAGGUGACAAUUCCAGGGGUUUGGGAGCCUUUGGAAGGUCGGGCACAGGGAGAGGGGGAAGUGCUUCGUGUGUCUGAUCCCCUCAUCCCGGAAUUCCCGGGGAGAUGGAGGGAGCCAGCUCUGGAUCCAACUCUGGGAAUCCCUGGAGAGCCAGAGGGAUCCACCUCUGGGAAUUCCGGAAGAAUCAGAGGGAUCCAACUCUGAGAAUUUCCAGAGAGCCAGAGGGAUCCAGCUCUUGGAAUUCCAGGAGGGAUCCAGCUCUGGGAUUUCCCAGAGAGCCAGAGGGAUCCAGCUCUAGAUCCAACACUGGGAAUCCCCAGAGGGAUCCAGCUCUGGGAAUUCCAGAAGAGCCAGAGGGAUCCAGCUCUGGGAAUUCCAGGAGAAUCAGAGGGAUCCAGCUCUGGGAAUUCCAGGAGAGCCAGAGGGAUCCAGCUCUGGGAAUUCCAGGAGAGCCAGAGGGAUCCAACACUGGAUCCAACACUGGGAAUUCCCAGAGAGCUGAAGGGAUCCAGCACUGGAUCCAACACUGGGAAUUCCAGGAGAGCCAGAGGGAUCCAACACUGGAUCCAACACUGGGAAUUCCCAGAGAGCUGAAGGGAUCCAGCACUGGAUCCAACACUGGGAAUUCCAGGAGAGCCAGAGGGAUCCAACACUGGAUCCAACCCUUGGUGGCCCCAAGCAGGGCCUGGCCCAGCCCAGCUCCCCUGGUUGGGAUCCUGCCUAAAACCCCCAAAUUCCCGGAUUUCCUUCCUCUUCCCAAGCCUGGACUCCCAAACAUUCCAGAGGAGCCAACUCCAGCAUUCCCACUCCCUGGAUUCACCCCCAGGUGCCUCCCACUGACCCCUCUGUGUCCCAAACUGGGGGUGAUCCCAACAUGGAUUUUGGGUGUCCUGUGGGAUCGAUUCCCUGUGUGCAGGAUGGAUCCCAGCAACAUUCCCAGAAUUCCCAGUAUUCCCAGCCCUCUCUCCCUGCUCUCACACCUUCCAGAUUCCCCAGGGUUGGAUUUUGGAAGGACUGGGACAUUUGGGGUCUUUGGGGUCGCAAAUGGGGCUGGAGGCUGCGGGCAGGGAUUUGGGAUUUGAGAUAAAAAGGAUUUGGAAUCCCAGAGCAAUGUAGGGAUUUGGGAUCCUGGAGCAAUCCAGGGAUUUGGGAUUUGAGAUUAAAAGGAUUUGGGAUCCCAGCCCCCCCCCCCCCCCCCCCCCCCCCCCCCCCCCCCCCCCCCCCCCCCCCCCCCCCCCCCCCCCCCCCCCCCCCC
rnacentral:lncRNA from 1 species